rnacentral:tRNA from 1 species
AGUUCUCCUAAUCGAGAGCACCGCCCUGUCAAGGCGGAAGCUGCGGGUUCGAGUCCCGU